rnacentral:rRNA from 1 species
UACUACUCCCUCCGGCCUCGCACCAAAGGGACCGUCUAGGUACCGUAGGCGCCGAGGACCCGUCUUUCUUCUUACCUCUGCUCCCUCUCUUCUUCCUUUUUUCCUCCCCUCCACGCCACAGGACCCGUCCUCGAGCGUCCUCGGCUCGCUGCCUCCUGCACGCGACGUCUGCCUCCCUAAGUCUCGGCCGGCCACCCCGCUGUGGUUGGUCCGGUCCCCACCGCAUGCUUACUCCUGAAGUAGUGGUAGUCUAGUAUAUACAACUUCGUACACUUUCACCGUCAUAGAAAACUCCCUAAUUACGGUGUGCUAGAAUUAUAAAUACAAUGUUGUCGUCGUUUACGCCUUCUUUCAUCGACCCCUCGUAUGACGGGACCCUACAUUUGUGGUGGAGGAGGACUUAUAUACUGGACGAACCCACUGCGUAUGUCACAAAGAACCUACCUUCUGUCACUUUGAGUGUUAGAUGUCUUCCUUGGGUAGUUCGUCGUCAUGCUCCACCAAUUUCGUUCUUGCCGUGGGGGUUUACUGAGGUUAUAGCCAAGAGUACAGUACCUCAUACCAUCUGUAAGUUCCUACUGUUCGAAAAGGAAAUAGUUCCAAAGAUAGGAUACUUCAGUUCGUAGUAUUUGUCUGGCGACGAAAGCGGGUCGGAGUUCCCGCGUUAGUUAGUUUCUCUACAACUAUAAGAAAAGUACACCUUCUUCAUACUCGUCAAUUUACAACCUAGUCUCCUCUUCGUCUCCCGAGAGUCCCUCCAGUUUCUUUGACACAAUGUGUCCUUCGAAGAGCUGUCGUCAUAGCCAAAGUAGCCCUUCGAACGGAAACCUAAACUCCCUGGAAGCCACGAACUCCGAUGAUUUCCGGGACCGGUAGGUAAUCAUCUGAUAACCCUAACAGACUUCUGCUACCACGCUCUAAAGCUCAGGGUCACGCCUAGUGAGUGAGUCAUACCGUACUUUGUGUACUCCCGCAAGUGUUUGUAGAUGUUGUACCCCUUCACCUCGGGCGGCCAAGAUCCCGUGUCGCGGACUAGCCGACGUGACGUCAUCAUGUACGUACCCUCGUCAUGGUUUACGAGGUCUCCAAGCAUCGAUCUGGAGUAUAUACCACACACACACAUGUAUAUAUGUAACCACAUUUGUACGUUCUUUGUUCGGCUGCUACGCGGGGUACACCACAGCCCAGUUAGUUAUCAAAUACUAGCACGAGCACUAAACUGACAUCAGACAACUUUCCGUUACUAACAACACGUACGCACGAUACGUAUACUAAGCAUAAAC